rnacentral:lncRNA from 1 species
CAGCAAGAUAUUCCAAGUAAAAACUACCUCACGGUUUCAGAACAUUUAUUUAAGACGUUCAGACUAACAGAGUAUAUGCAUGUGCAUUCCUGAUAACUUAUUCAUUGUUGUCUUAUUCCAUGGUCGAGACUUGAGCUAAUGAGCCGAGGAUGUUUUCCAACGUUUUUUUCUGCUUUGGUUUAUUAAUAGACGUUGGCAUUCAUGCACGUUAUAGUACUCUUAUUAGUAUUCACAUGCAUGCAUUUUGGCUUCGCAUUUUGGUAGGUAUAACGCCUUAAGGCUCAGAAUACCACAGUCAGAAAACAAACUAGAUCAUGAAAUAAACACAGAUAUCAUAUAUAGCCCAUACGUAUAUGCAUGAAUAUUAUAUGAAUACGAGAAAAUUCUAACUGGCCCUUAUCUCGAAAAUUCUAAUUGAUCCUGAUAACUUAUAUGAGCUCAUAUUGAAUGUAAUUACGAGGGUCUGGUGUACUGUUGACAAGCGGAGCAGGCGUAGGGGUUGUGCUGCUUCUGUAUGUGUGCUCAAACUAUCUGAAAAGAUAAAUUUCAUACUUGAUUGCACAUUACUGCCAAAGAAAGAUCUAGAUUUAGGAGUCAAGAGGUGAAUAUAUGUGAUGUGGCAUAGCCAUGCGCCACAACAUGUCUCUUGUCGAAGUUUUAAUUUGCAUUAUAAAUCAGUAUUUACUGACACAUGCCCAGGACCUCGGUCGAUAUAAUUUGUUGGCGUUUCAUGGCGUACCAUAAGUGAAUCCAGUAUCGUAACUAGCGGGCUUACGUCUAGGCGUACAAUAAAAACUAUUAAAGGAACCAAAUACGUCGUUCGUACAUGCUGCAGUAUCACGUCUUUAAAGCUAACCUCAAGUCCAACCACUUUAAUAGACCUUAAUGGACUCUUAAUCUUAAAACGGCCGCUCCACAUCUCUGAAAAGAAAAACUAUGCUUUUUUAAGGGGCAUACCAUUAGAAAAGUGAUGGGGGGACUUUUUCAACUUGUACGAAUAUUUUUUUUAAAUUUUUUGCCUGUGUCGAUAAUUUUUUUAAAUAUAAUCCCUUGCACGAAUUUUUUUUUAUUUUAACUUAUAAUUUUCCUCAUUGAAAAGUCUCUGCACGAAUUUUUUUCUCAAACUUUUUUGGUGCACGAAUUUUUCUUUCUUUCUGUUUCCCCUGCUCGAUUUUUUUUGGUCCCCCCCCCCCCAUCACUUUUCUAAUGGUCCGCCCCUUAGUAGACAAAAAAUAACAUGCUUCUGUUCCUUCUAAACGAAAAUUUAGUGACAAAAUUGCCACAAAUUACCCAGACGUGGUAAGAUCAAAUAUCCUAUCGAGACACAUGCAGUUGGUGAGAAAUAAAAAUAUCGUUAGAUUCGACGACGAGCCAUGUUCAUUCACAUUGUAGCCUGCUCGCAGCCCGAAGAAUUUCGCAACAAAUUCGGGCUGCGAGAAGGCUAUGUUCAUUGGAUAUGGUACAUUUCUGCGAAUAUUUUCCACCUAUAUUAAUAAUUCUCUGUUAAACAUUUCAUACUCGUAGCAACUAGCAAAAUGGGGUGAACAUCGCCUACUGCAUCAGGCUUGAGUCAACCUUGCAGGCAGCUCCAUUUACUGUUCCGAAUGCUCCGGAACACGAAUUAUAGAAUCGAACUCGGUCACAUGGCUAGAACAGUCAUGUGACCGCUUUCGGUUCGAUUCUAUUGGUGUUCCGAAAAUCCGGAGUAUCGGAAGAGCAAAUAGAGCAGCCUGUCGGAGUCAACAUUAUACAUAUGCAACCAGCCUCGUACCCAGGCUCUUCCCCGCGCGCCUAAAAGCUCACCCAGAGCUCAGAACACUAGCCUGAGGUACGAGGCUGAUAUGCAACCAAGAUGAUUCGAAAGCAGCCAGGAUGACUCGUUUAAUAAAGCAGCUAUAGGAUGAUUCGUUUCAUAAAGCUUUUAUCACAUCCAAUUAGCCGCUUAGUUUAAUUCCAGUAACAAUAUACAGUAAAGAUCAUUCGAACGAUCGUUCAUGAUCUGGAAUUCAAAAUCGUGGGCCUGUCGAUACGAUAUCACUAUUCUACUUUACCUCAAAGCCGUGUUUGCACGAAGCUGGUCACGUAGCCGUACUAGACAGACUAGAGACCUUACGAUUUUAGGACGGCAACGGCUACCAAUACAAUAGAUCAUUGAAAAGAAUUGAGUAAUUACAAUAUGUGAAUAAUUUAGACACUGUCCUCGCUCUGUUUACAACGCCAAAUCACAUAUUUUCACGUGUUGAUAGAACGGCUGCAUUCCAAGCCCGCAACAAGUGUAACUUCAAACUGGGUUUAGCAGAACUCUUCUCAACCAUAAAACCCAUGUCUUCAACUUCUAAGACUGUAUUAAAUUCAUACGAUUGAUAAUAUACGACGAACUAUCGACUACCAUUUAUUUGAAGGAGUUUGUUUUGGCCGUCGCCGUCGCGGUUGUCGUCCUAAAAUCGUAAGGUCUCUACUACUGAAUGUCUGAAUGCUGGCAUGCACUACGAGUCUACGGAAAUUCAUUUCAUUCGAAAGGCCCGUUUACACUUGCAAUUUUUGCUGCGAUUUCUAGUGCUAUAUUUUCUACUUCUGAUGGAUGUGAACGAGUAGAUGAGUUUCGAAUGUUCAGAGUACAUGUACCCUCAUUUGAACAUUCAUAACUCUGCUGUCUUAUCCACUCGUUCACAUCCAUCAGAAGAAAAUCACACCUAAAAUCGCAGCAAAAAUAGACCAUUUGCAUUAUGGACUAAA